ensembl:lncRNA
AGGGAAGCAAAGCGCAUCCGGCUGUGAUUUAAUGCUACUCCGUUGUCAUAUUUGCAGGAAAAUAGCUUCGGUGAAGUCUGCUGUCAAGUUACUGGACACGUGGUAUUUGCACAACACUUCUGAAUCCGCAGCUUCGGUGUUUUAAGGCUGUUUCGAUAUGGAGAAGAAGUGGGAAGAGAUUUACGCGUUCAUUUCUGCGGGCUCCUACCCUUCAGGAUAUGACAAGGCUCAAAGGCAAAACCUCAGAAGAUAUGCCUCAAAAUUCAAACAAAAGGAUGGAGAACUCUUUGUUGGAACCAGAAGAGUAGUAAAAACCAUGGAUGAUGCCAGGAAGAUAUUUCAUGAGUUUCAUUCAUCUCCAAUUGGAGGACACACUGGCAUACACAAAACGC